GGGGAUUUAGCUCAGUGGUAGAGCGCUUGCCUAGCAAGCACAAGGCCCUAGGUUCGGGCCCCAGCUCCA
rnacentral:tRNA from 1 species